rnacentral:lncRNA from 1 species
GCUGAGCUUUAGUCCUUUUGAGGGUUGGUAUAUUUACUUUUCAUUCAAGGUUCUUUCACCUUGAUUGAUCCUGAACUUGUUUUUGUAUUCCCAGACAUGUAAGACAGCCUAAAAUUCUGCUCACCUUUUCAACCUCUGGUCCUCUGUUUUCUGCUCAUUAUUUCCCACUAUUUAGCUUCUUAGCCUUAGGCUACUGCUUAUGAAUUGGCAGUUGCCUCAAGGGGAAAACAGGUGCUAAAUGUCAUUCUCACCUUUGCACUUCCCUUUUGGACACGGUCUUGACCCUUCAAUUUCUUACUACCUUGGUGGCUCUCUUGUUUAAGCGGAUAUCCUCAUCUAUGUUUCUGUAUCUGUAAGUGUAUCUCAUUUUUGAGUAGAGUCACUGGCCUGACAAAAGUAUAUUCUAGCCAAAAUAAGAGAAGUCCCCACAAUUUGUUUAAUGACAAAAGCUCCACUAGAGAGAAGCAGUUACCUAGAUAAGUCUUAGAAUGUCAAUUCCAUUCUUUCUCUUUGCUUUUUGUGGAUAAUGUAUAACCUUUAUAGCAGUCAUAUAUGCACAUACAAUGUUUUGGUAUCCCUGCUUGAGCACUUUUGGAAAACCUUUACCAUCUGUGCCUUAAAUCCAUGUAGAGCUUGUGAACACAAAAUAUGUGAGACAGGUCUCAGUCAAUUUAGGAAGUUUAUUUUGCCAAAGUUAAGGAUGUGCCCAUGGCAUAGCUUCAGGAAGUCCUGAGACACGUGCCCAAGGUGUUUGGGGGUACAGUUUGCUUUUAUACAUUUUAGGGAGACAUGAGACAGCUAUGUGUAAGAUGUACAUUAGUUCAGUCCGGUAAGGCAGGACAACUCGAAGUGGCCCCGUUAGAAGUAGGUAAGACGCAAAAGGUUGCAUUCUUUUAAGUCGUAGAUCAGCCUUCCACUGAAUACACAAUUUAGUCUGGUUCAGUGGAUCUGCAUUUUCACAGAAACAAUAGGAGAGAGGAAGCAAUCAGAUAUGCGUUUGUUUCAGGUGAGCCUCAGACGGAUGACUUUGAAUAGAAGGGGAGGCAGGUUUGCCCUAA